CCUACGGGAGGCAGCAGUGGGGAAUAUUGGGCAAUGGGCGCAAGCCUGACCCAGCAACGCCGCGUGAAGGAAGAAGGCUCUCGGGUUGUAAACCUCUUUUAUCAGGGACGAAGCAAGUGAUGGUACCUGAUGAAUAAGCGUCGGCUAACUACGUGCCAGCAGCCGCGGUAAUACGUAGGUGGCAAGCGUUAUCCGGAUUUACUGGGUGUAAAGGGCGUGUAGGGGGGAAAGGGAGUCAGAUGGGAAAACCAUGGGGUCAACCUGUGGCCUGCAGUUGAAACUGUUUUUCGUGAGUACUGGAGAGGCAGACGGAAUGCCUGGUGUAGCGGUGAAAUGCGUAGAUAUUAGGAGGAACACCAGUGGCGAAGGCGGUCUGCUGGACAGCAACUGACGCUGAGGCGCGAAAGCGUGGGGAGCAAACAGGAUUAGAUACCCGGGUAGUC
rnacentral:rRNA from 1 species